UGGCGAACGGGUUAGUAACAUAUCGGAACGUACCGGGUAGCGGGGGAUAACUGAUCGAAAGAUCAGCUAAUACCGCAUACGUCUUGAGAGGGAAAGCAGGGGACCUUCGGGCCUUGCGCUAUCCGAGCGGCCGAUAUCUGAUUAGCUGGUUGGCGGGGUAAAGGCCCACCAAGGCUACGAUCAGUAGCGGGUCUGAGAGGAUGAUCCGCCACACUGGGACUGAGACACGGCCCAGACUCCUACGGGAGGCAGCAGAU
rnacentral:rRNA from 1 species